rnacentral:rRNA from 1 species
UACGAAGGGGGCUAGCGUUGUUCGGAACUACUGGGCGUAAAGCGCACGUAGGCGGUGUUCCAUGUCAGAGGUGAAAGCCUGGGGCUCAACUCCAGAAUUGCCUUUGAAACGGGAACGCUUGAGUCCGAGAGAGGAUGGCGGAAUUCCUAGUGUAGAGGUGAAAUUCGUAGAUAUUAGGAAGAACACCAACGGCGAAGGCAGCUCGCUGGGACGGUACUGACGCUGAGACGCGAAAGCGUGGGGAGCGAACAGG